rnacentral:rRNA from 1 species
GACGAACGCUGGCGGCGUGCUUAACACAUGCAGGUCGAACGGACAGGCCCUGAUUUUGUGGGGUGCUCGUGUGGCGCACAGGUGAGUAACACGCGAGUAACCUGCCCUUGUCUUUGGGAUAACUUCUGGAAACUGCGGCUCUUACCGGAUAGGAGAUCCUGCUGCAUGGUGGUGGAUGGUAAGUUACGGCGGUUGGGGAUGGAUUAGCGGCUUAUGCGCUUGAUGGUGAGGUAGUGGCUGACCAAGGCUGUGACGGGUAGCCGGCCUGAGAGGUGUACCGGCCACAAGGGUACUGCGAGACGGCGCAGACUCGUAUGGGAGGCAGCAGUGGGGAAUAUGACAGAAUGGGCGGAAGCCAGUGGUAGCAACGCCCGGGGCGGGAUGAUGUCCUUUGGGUGAUAAACCGCUUUGGCCGUUGACGAGGAGUGAGUGACGGUAAUGGGUAAAGAAGCACCGGCUAACUACGUG